rnacentral:rRNA from 1 species
CCGGCGACCGGCGCACGGGUGAGUAACACGUAUGCAACCUGCCCUCCGCAGGGGGAUAACCCGGAGAAAUCCGGACUAAUACCGCGUGGUACAUCUGUGGGGCAUCCCACGGGUGUUAAAAGGAAGCGAUUCCGGCGGAGGAUGGGCAUGCGGCGCAUUAGCUGGUUGGCGGGGUAACGGCCCACCAAGGCGACGAUGCGUAGGGGUUCUGAGAGGAAGGUCCCCCACACUGGUACUGAGACACGGACCAGACUCCUACGGAAGGCAGCAG